UACGUAGGGGGCAAGCGUUGUCCGGAUUUAUUGGGCGUAAAGAGCGUGUAGGCGGUUUUACAGGUCCGCUGUGAAAACUCGAGGCUCAACCUCGAGACGCCGGUGGAAACCAUCAGACUAGAGUCCGGAAGAGGAGAGUGGAAUUCCUGGUGUAGCGGUGAAAUGCGUAGAUAUCUGGAGGAACACCGGUGGCGAAGGCGGCAUCCUGGACCAACACUGACACUGAGGAGCGAAAGCCAGGGGAGCAAACGGG
rnacentral:rRNA from 1 species